rnacentral:tRNA from 687 species
GCGGGUGUAGCUCAGUUGGUUAGAGCGCCGGCCUGUCACGCCGGAGGUCGCGGGUUCGAGCCCCGUCACUCGCGCCA